rnacentral:rRNA from 1 species
UACAGAGGGUGCAAGCGUUGCUCGGAAUUAUUGGGCGUAAAGGGCAAGUAGGUGGUCUCAUUUGUCUGGGGUGAAAGCCUUGAGCUUAACUCAAGAAGUGCCCCGGAAACGGUGAGACUCGAGUACUGGAGAGGGUCGUGGAAUUCCCGGUGUAGCGGUGAAAUGCGUAGAGAUCGGGAGGAACACCAGAGGCGAAGGCGGCGACCUGGACAGUAACUGACACUCAACUGCGAAAGCGUGGGGAGCAAACAGG